rnacentral:rRNA from 1 species
UACGUAGGGUGCAAGCGUUGUCCGGAAUUAUUGGGCGUAAAGAGCUCGUAGGCGGUUUGUCACGUCGGAUGUGAAACCCUGAGGCUCAACCUCAGGCCUGCAUUCGAUACGGGCAGACUAGAAUUCGGCAGGGGAGACUGGAAUUCCUGGUGUAGCGGUGAAAUGCGCAGAUAUCAGGAGGAACACCUAUUGCGAAGGCAGCUCGCUGGGACGUUACUGACGCUGAGACGCGAAAGCGUGGGGAGCAAACAGG